ACAAACCAACCAGAACUACCCCAGCCAACAGACCACGAAGGACGCAGCGUCUGAGAGUUCAAGGUCAACAGUUCCAGCUUUUCCAGGAGCCUCUCCACCCCCAACCACCCUGGGCAUCAUCACGCCAUCAGCCAGGCCGAGGCUCACCCAAUCUGUCGGCCACGGAUCCACGGCAGGAAGAAGACUAGUGUCCCAAAGACAGUCAACUGUGGAUGACACCAUUCCAACCACAGGUUCUGGGGAUCAGGCUCCGCUGCCCAGGGUGGAGACGAGUUCUUAGUCAUCAGGGCCCAGGAGUUGUUGUCAAACAUUGUCUCCAAAUGCUCCGACAUGGACAGCUGGGGCCGAGGCAGUGGUAGCCUUGGGGUUCACACUGAAGAAAGGGGUACGGAGAAGGAAGGGACAACAGCAAGGAAACUACCAGGUGCCCCCGACCCCGCAAAGAAAGAGAUGAAGUGAGACCUGGAGACCUGAUGGGACUAGAGGCGAGAGGAGGGCAGAAAG
rnacentral:lncRNA from 1 species